CUGUGCCGCUUCUCCCUGUGAUGUGAGAGCGUCUGGAAGGCCCUGCAAGAAGUCUGGUCCUAACCGGGGAAGCGUAGAAGCAUUACCCAGACAGACUGAGCAUUUGUCACCUGGGCUUUCUACAGAUGCCAUAGGCAGUGGAAGUCAGCAUCGCAAGCAUCCGUGAGAGCCCUGCAAAAGACUGUGAUGUAGAAGCAGUGGCUCAGCACCUCCCAAGCAAUGGCCAAUCAGAAGAAGAAAGCAAGAUGAACUCUCAUCGUGUUGCAACCUCUUUCCACUUGAUGUCAUCUGGUAUGCAGUAUCCUUUUGGCCAGUUGACGUCAGCUGUCCUAAUUCUGUUUCCUCCCAGCUUCUUGUGCCCUUUCCUGAGAACGGCCUUGGUGCUCUCUCUCUACAACACUGCUUAUCAGAAGGUGUAAACAUCAGAGUGUUACCAGCGUGGUUUUCCUUGUCAAAGCCAAUCAUAGCAUCAUAGCAGACCCCCUGAAGAAAAAUGCAUCCCACUAAGACAGCCCCCCAGUGUCCACGCAGCGAGCCACAUCGGGCUCCCGUGGAGCUGCAGACGGCGCAUUUCCCUGGCAGCAUUGGCCAGGGGUGCUGGGGAGGUUUUGGUGCUCAGCUUGGGCGUGGCGCUGCUUUGCCUGCUUUGUAGGUGUGUGAACAGAAGUGCUUUCCCCCCUUGUGUUCUGUCCCACGGCAUUUGCCCCAUGGUUGGUAGAAGAAAGAGCUGGUGGAUUCAGCAGCAGUAGAUUCUGUUGGUUUCCUUGGUUUAUCCCAAGGCUGCUGUGAAGGGGAGCCUGGUUGGCGUAGCAGUGAGCAGCAGCUAAUGGGCUGU